GGAGUUAGCCGGUGCUUCUUCUGCGAGUAACGUCACAGAUGUAAGGUAUUAACUUACACCCUUUCCUCCUCGCUGAAAGUGCUUUACAACCCGAAGGCCUUCUUCACACACGCGGCAUGGCUGCAUCAGGGUUUCCCCCAUUGUGCAAUAUUCCCCACUGCUGCCUCCCGUAGGAGUCUGGGCCGUGUCUCAGUCCCAGUGUGGCUGAUCAUCCUCUCAGACCAGCUAGGGAUCGUCGCCUAGGUGAGCCUUUACCUCACCUACUAGCUAAUCCCACCUGGGCUUAUCCAUCAGCGCAAGGCCCGAAGGUCCCCUGCUUUCCCCCGUAGGGCGUAUGCGGUAUUAGCAGUCGUUUCCAACUGUUAUCCCCCACAAAUGGGCAAAUUCCCAGGCAUUACUCACCCGUCCGCCGCUCGUCAUCUUCAAAGCAAGCUUUUGAAUGUUACCGCUCGACUUGCAUGUGUUAGGCCUGCCGCCAGCGUUCAAUCUGAGCCAUAAUCAAACUCUGA
rnacentral:rRNA from 1 species